UACGUAGGGUGCGAGCGUUGUCCGGAAUUAUUGGGCGUAAAGAGCUCGUAGGCGGUCUGUCGCGUCGAUCGUGAAAACUUGGGGCUUAACCCUGAGCUUGCGGUCGAUACGGGCAUGACUGGAGUUCGGCAGGGGAGACUGGAAUUCCUGGUGUAGCGGUGAAAUGCGCAGAUAUCAGGAGGAACACCGGUGGCGAAGGCGGCAUCCUGGACCAACACUGACACUGAGGAGCGAAAGCCAGGGGAGCAAACGGG
rnacentral:rRNA from 1 species